GACGAACGCUGGCGGCGUGCCUAAUACAUGCAAGUCGAGCGGACGAAUCGAAAGCUUGCUUUUGAUUCGUUAGCGGCGGACGGGUGAGUAACACGUGGGCAACCUGCCCUGUAGACGGGGAUAACACCGAGAAAUCGGUGCUAAUACCGGAUAACACGAAAUGUCGCAUGACGUUUCGUUGAAAGACGGCGCAAGCUGUCGCUACAGGAUGGGCCCGCGGCGCAUUAGCUAGUUGGUGAGGUAACGGCUCACCAAGGCGACGAUGCGUAGCCGACCUGAGAGGGUGAUCGGCCACACUGGGACUGAGACACGGCCCAGACUCCUACGGGAGGCAGCAGUAGGGAAUCUUCCGCAAUGGACGAAAGUCUGACGGAGCAACGCCGCGUGAGCGAAGAAGGUCUUCGGGUCGUAAAGCUCUGUUGUUAGGGAAGAACAAGUAACGCAGUAACUGGCGUUACCGUGACGGUACCUAACGAGAAAGCCACGGCUAACUACGU
rnacentral:rRNA from 1 species